CGGGGAGUAUUGGACAAUGGGCGAAAGCCUGAUCCAGCCAUGCCGCAUGAGUGAAGAAGGCCUUUGGGUUGUAAAGCUCUUUUAGUGAGGAAGAUAAUGACGGUACUCACAGAAGAAGUCCUGGCUAACUCCGUGCCAGCAGCCGCGGUAAUACGGAGAGGGCUAGCGUUAUUCGGAAUUAUUGGGCGUAAAGGGCGCGUAGGCUGGUUAGUAAGUUAAAAGUGAAAUCCCGAGGCUUAACCUUGGAACUGCUUUUAAAACUGCUAACCUAGAGAUUGAAAGAGGAUAGAGGAAUUCCUAGUGUAGAGGUGAAAUUCGUAAAUAUUAGGAGGAACACCAGUGGCGAAGGCGUCUAUCUGGUUCAAAUCUGACGCUGAGGCGCGAAGGCGUGGGGAGCAAACA
rnacentral:rRNA from 1 species